GGGGGUGGGGGAGCUGGCUGUGACAUGUGUCACUCCAUUAUCAGCAGGUUUAUGCCAGCUGAUCUGGCUGUGCAGGUGUCCUUUCCUCACCACUCUGUCUUCCUCCCAAAGCUGCAUACAAUGGUGGAAGAAUUCUCUGGUGAAGGUUAUCUCCACAACUGUGCUCCUCUCUCGGGGCCUCCAAAAAGCUUUCACACAGGAGACUCUAAAACAUCAUACAAAGGAAAGAAAGGAAGAAAAGGAGAAGUUACAGAAUGCCACAUCAAACAUUGGCAGAGAAGUU
rnacentral:snRNA from 1 species